CGGGAUGUAAGUCAGUGGUCAGACGGCUUGUUUUGGGGACAAGCAGCCGCUGGUUCGAAUCCAGCCAUCCCGACCA
rnacentral:tRNA from 1 species